CGCGUAGGCGGUCUGGUCAGUCGGAUGUGAAAGCCCUGGGCUUAACCUGGGAACUACAUUCGAUACUGCCAAACUAGAAUAUGGGAGAGGGAAGUGGAAUUUCCGGUGUAGCGGUGAAAUGCGUAGAUAUCGGAAGGAACACCAGUGGCGAAGGCGGCUUCCUGGCCCAAUAUUGACGCUGAGGUGCGAAAGCGUGGGUAGCGAACA
rnacentral:rRNA from 1 species